rnacentral:rRNA from 1 species
AGUGAACGCUGGCGGUAGGCCUAACACAUGCAAGUCGAACGGCAGCACAGGAGGGCUUGCUCUCUAGGUGGCGAGUCGCGGACGGGUGAGGCAUACAUCGGACCCUGCCCAGUCGUGGGGGAUAACGUAGGGAAACUUACCCUAAUACCGCAUACGUACUUCAGGUGAAAGAGGGGUAGCGCAAGACCUCUCUCGAUUUGCUGAGACGAUGUCGCAUUCGCUAGUUGGCGGGGUAAUGGCUCACCAAGGCGACGAUCCGUAGCUGGUCUGAGAGGGUGAUCGGCCACACUGGAACUGAGACACGGUCCAGACUCCUACGGGAGGCAGCAGUAGGGAAUAUUCGGCAAUGGGCGAAAGCCUGAUGCAGCAACACCGCGUGAGUGAUGAAGGUCUUCGGGUUGUAAAGCUCUGUUAUUAGGAAAGAACAAUUGUAUAAGUAACUAUGGACAUCUUGACGGUACCUAAACAGAAAGCAACGGCUAACUACGUG